AUGAUGGUUGGACAAGAGAUAAUCUGUCUCAAAUUAAUAUAUUGAAUUUAACUUUUAAGUGAAAAGGCUUAAAUAAUCUGAAGGGACGAUAAGACCCUAUAAAACUUUAUAUUUAUAAGAUAGUAGUUAGUUUUAUUUAAUGGUAUUGUUUUGGAGUAUUUGGUUGGGGUGACAAGGAUAAAAUAUAAAGUAACUGUCUUUUUUUUUUUACAGUUAUGUUUGGUUUAAUGAUCCUAAAAGGGAUUACAAGAUUAAGUUACUUUAGGGAUAACAGCGUAAUUUUUUU
rnacentral:rRNA from 1 species